GAUGAACGCUGGCGGCGUGCCUAAUACAUGCAAGUCGAGCGAACAGACGAGGAGCUUGCUCCUCUGACGUUUGCGGCGGACGGGUGAGUAACACGUGGAUAACCUACCUAUAAGACUGGGAUAACUUCGGGAAACCGGAGCUAAUACCGGAUAAUAUAUUGAACCGCAUGGUUCAAUAGUGAAAGACGGUUUUGCUGUCACUUAUAGAUGGAUCCCCGCCGCAUUAGCUAGUUGGUAAGGUAACGGCUUACCAAGGCGACUAUGCGUAGCCGACCUGUGAGGGGGAUCGGCCACACUAGAGCUGAGACACGGUCCAUACUCCUACGGGAGGCAGCAGUAGGGAAUCUUCCGCAAUGGGCGAAAGCCUGACGGAGCAACGCCGCGUGAGUGAUGAAGGUCUUCGGAUCGUAAAACUCUGUUAUUAGGGAAGAACAAAUGUGUAAGUAACUAUGCACGUCUUGACGGUACCUAAUCAGAAAGCCACGGCUAACUACGUG
rnacentral:rRNA from 1 species